rnacentral:rRNA from 1 species
GACGAACGCUGGCGGCGUGCCUAAUACAUGCAAGUAGAACGCUGAAGGAGGAUCUUGCUUCUCUGGAUGAGUUGCGAACGGGUGAGUAACGCGUAGGUAACCUGCCUGGUAGCGGGGGAUAACUAUUGGAAACGAUAGCUAAUACCGCAUAAUAGCAGUUGUUGCAUGACAACUGUUUGAAAGGUGCAAUUGCACCACUACCAGAUGGACCUGCGUUGUAUUAGCUAGUUGGUGGGGUAACGGCUCACCAAGGCGACGAUACAUAGCCGACCUGAGAGGGUGGUCGGCCACACUGGGACUGAGACACGGCCCAGACUCCUACGGGAGGCAGCAGGAGGGAAUCUUCGGCAAUGGACGGAAGUCUGACCGAGCAACGCCGCGUGAGUGAAGAAGGUUUUCGGAUCGUAAAGCUCUGUUGUAAGAGAAGAACGAGUGUGAGAGUGGAAAGUUCACACUGUGACGGUAUCUUACCAGAAAGGGACGGCUAACUACGUG